GGCGUCUUAGCUCAGCUGGGAGAGCAGCAGACUGAAGCGAUUAGCAAGAUCAUCUGAAGGUCCCGUGUUUCAAGCCCGGAGAUGCCA